rnacentral:rRNA from 1 species
AUUGAACGCUGGCGGAAUGCUUUACACAUGCAAGUCGAACGGCAGCACGGACUUCGGUCUGGUGGCGAGUGGCGAACGGGUGAGUAAUGUAUCGGAACGUGCCCAGUCGUGGGGGAUAACGUAGUGAAAAUUACGCUAAUACCGCAUACGAUCUAUGAAUGAAAGCGGGGGAUCGCAAGACCUCGCGCGAUUGGCGCGGCCGAUAUCAGAUUAGGUAGUUGGUGGGGUAAAGGCCCACCAAGCCAACGAUCUGUAGCUGGUCUGAGAGGACGACCAGCCACACUGGAACUGAGACACGGUCCAGACUCCUACGGGAGGCAGCAGUGGGGAAUUUUGGACAAUGGGCGAAAGCCUGAUCCAGCCAUUCCGCGUGCAGGAUGAAGGCCCUCGGGUUGUAAACUGCUUUUGUACAGAACGAAAAGGUUUCUACUAAUACUAGGAGCUCAUGACGGUACUGUAAGAAUAAGCACCGGCUAACUACGUGCCAGCAGCCGCUGUAA